AAACCACCAUGCAACAUGUUGCUUCAUCUAUAUAAUCAUGGACCAUUGCAUGAUUACUGAACGAUUGCAAUUUCAAAAGUGAAUAUAUCCAGUUCAAUCAUGAAGGAAAAAAAUAUAGACUUGAGGGGAAAAAAUAAAAUAUAUACUUCUUUAUUAUAUUAACUGAGAGAGGGGAAAAAACACUUGAUUAUAGCACCCUAUAGAAUUUCUCUUAAAAGAUCGUAUAAUACGUUGAUCAUGAAAAAUAUCGAGCACACCGUAGUCACAC
rnacentral:lncRNA from 1 species